rnacentral:rRNA from 1 species
CACGUAGGAGGCGAGCGUUGUCCGGAAUCAUUGGGCGUAAAGAGCGCGCAGGCGGCUUGGCAAGUCGGGUGUGAAAUCCCGAGGCUCAACCUCGGGUCUGCAGUCGAUACGGGCAAGCUAGAGUAUUGCAGGGGAGACUGGAAUUCCUGGUGUAGCGGUGAAAUGCGCAGAUAUCAGGAGGAACACCGGUGGCGAAGGCGGGUCUCUGGGCAAUAACUGACGCUGAGGAGCGAAAGCGUGGGGAGCGAACAGG